AAUGCCUAGGAAUCUGCCUGGUAGUGGGGGAUAACGUUCGGAAACGGACGCUAAUACCGCAUACGUCCUACGGGAGAAAGCAGGGGACCUUCGGGCCUUGCGCUAUCAGAUGAGCCUAGGUCGGAUUAGCUAGUUGGUGAGGUAAUGGCUCACCAAGGCGACGAUCCGUAACUGGUCUGAGAGGAUGAUCAGUCACACUGGAACUGAGACACGGUCCAGACUCCUACGGGAGGCAGCAGUGGGGAAUAUUGGACAAUGGGCGAAAGCCUGAUCCAGCCAUGCCGCGUGUGUGAAGAAGGUCUUCGGAUUGUAAAGCACUUUAAGUUGGGAGGAAGGGUUGUAGAUUAAUACUCUGCAAUUUUGACGUUACCGACAGAAUAAGCACCGGCUAACUCUGUGCCAGCAGCCGCGGUAAUACAGAGGGUGCAAGCGUUAAUCGGAAUUACUGGGCGUAAAGCGCGCGUAGGUGGUUUGUUAAGUUGGAUGUGAAAUCCCCGGGCUCAACCUGGGAACUGCAUUCAAAACUGACUGACUAGAGUAUGGUAGAGGGUGGUGGAAUUUCCUGUGUAGCGGUGAAAUGCGUAGACAUAGGAAGG
rnacentral:rRNA from 1 species